rnacentral:SRP_RNA from 1 species
GCCGGGCGUGGUGGCACACACCUGUAAUCCCAGCUACUCAGGAGGCUGAGGCAGGAGAAUUGCUUGAGCCCGGGAGGCAGAGGUUGCAGUGAACUGAGAUCGUGCCACUGCACUCCAGCUUGGCCAUCCAAAAAAAAAAAAAAAAAAGCUCUGAGAUUUAAGUCAUACUUAGCAUGUCGCCAGUCAGAGAUUUUUUUUUUUUUAAGAUGGAGUCUUGCUCUGUGUCGCCCAGGCUGGAGUGUAGUGGCAUGAUCUCAGCCCACUGCCACCUCCGGCUCCUGAAAUCAAGGAAUUAUCCUGCCUUGG